rnacentral:rRNA from 1 species
AGUUCGAUCAUGGCUCAGAUUGAACGCCUGGCCGGGGAUGCUUUACACAUGCAAGUCGAACGGCAGCACGGACUUCGGUCUGGUGAGUGGCGAACGGGUGAGUAAUGUAUCGGAACGUGCCUAGUAGCGGGGGAUAACUACGCGGCGUAGCUAAUACCGCAUACGCCCUUCGGGGAAAGCGGGGGACCUUCGGGCCUCGCACUAUUAGAGCAGCCGAUAUCGGAUUAGUAGUUGGUGGGAGUAACGGCUCACCAAGGCGACGAUCCGUAGCUGGUUCAGAGGACGACCAGCCACACUGGGACUGGGACACGGCCCAGACUCCUACGGGGAGGCAGCAGUGGGGAAUUUUGGACAAUGGGGGAAACCCUGAUCCAGCCAUCCCGCGUGUGCGAUGAAGGCCUUCGGGUUGUAAAGCACUUUUGGCAGGAAAGAAACAGCACGGGAUAAUACCCCGUGCAACUGACUGACACCUGCAGAAUAAGCACCGGCUAACUACGUACCAGCAGCCGCGGUAAUACGUAGGGUGCAAGCGUUAAUGCAGUUACUGGGCGUAAAGCGUGCGCAGGCGGUUCGGAAAGAAGAUGUGAAAUCCCAGGCUUAACUUUGGAACUGCAUUUUUAACUACCGAGCUAGAGUGUGUCAGAGGGAGGUGGAAUUCGCGUGUAGCAGUGAAAUGCGUAGAUAUGCGGAGGAACACCGAUGGCGAAAUCCUGGGAUAACACUGACGCUCAUGCACGAAAAACGUGGGAGCAAACAGGAUUAGAUACCCUGGUAGUCCACGCCCUAAACGAUGUCAACUAGCUGUUGGGGCCUUCGGGCCUUGGUAGCGCAACUAACGCGUGAGAUUGACCGCCUGGGAAGUACGGUCGCAAGAUUAAAACUCAAAGGAAUUGACGGGGACCCGCACAAGCGGUGGAUGAUGUGGAUUAAUUCGAUGCAACGCGAAAAACCUUACCUACCCUUGACAUGUCUGGAAUCCCGAAGAGAUUUGGGAGUGCUCGCAGAGAACCGGAACACAGGUGCUGCAUGGCUGUCGUCAGCUCGUGUCGUGAGAUGUUGGGUUAAGUCACAACAGAGCGCAACCCUUGUCAUUAGUUGCUACGAAAGGGCACUCUAAUGAGACUGCCGGUGACAAACCGGAGGAAGGUGGGGAUGACGUCAAGUCCUCAUGGCCCUUAUGGGUAGGGCUUCACACGUCAUACAAUGGUCGGGACAGAGGGUCGCCAACCCGCGAGAGAGCCAAUCCCAGAAACCCGAUCGUAGUCCGGAUCGCAGUCUGCAACUCGACUGCGUGAAGUCAGAAUCGCUGGCCAAUCGCGGAUCAGCAUGUCGCGGUGAAUACGUUCCCGGGUCUUGUACACACCGCCCGUCACACCAUGGGAGUGGGUUUUACCAGAAGUAGUUAGCCUAACCGUAAGGAGGAGCGA